GUAGUUGACUCCGUGGACUACGAGAACGACGCUGGCGGCAGGCUUAACACAUGCAAGUCGAACGCAUCCUUCGGGGUGAGUGGCAGACGGGUGAGUAACGCGUGGGAACGUGCCCUUCAGUUUGGAAUAACCCAGGGAAACUUGGGCUAAUACCGGAUACGCCCGCAGGGGAAAGAGUUUAUCGCUGAAGGAUCGGCCCGCGUCUGAUUAGCUGGUUGGUAGGGUAAUGGCCUACCAAGGCGACGAUCAGUAGCUGGUCUGAGAGGAUGAUCAGCCACACUGGGACUGAGACACGGCCCAGACUCCUACGGGAGGCAGCAGUGGGGAAUAUUGGGACAAUGGGCGCAAGCCUGAUCCAGCCAUGCCGCGUGAGUGAUGACGGCCUUAGGGUUGUAAAGCUCUUUCGCACGCGACGAUAAUGACGGUAGCGUGAGAAGAAGCCCCGGCUAACUUCGUG
rnacentral:rRNA from 1 species